UACGUAGGGCGCAAGCGUUGUCCGGAAUUAUUGGGCGUAAAGAGCUCGUAGGCGGCCUGUUACGUCUGCUGUGAAAUCCCGGGGCUUAACCCCGGGCGUGCAGUGGAUACGGGCAGGCUGGAGGCAGGCAGGGGAGAACGGAAUUCCCGGUGUAGCGGUGAAAUGCGCAGAUAUCAGGAGGAACACCGGUGGCGAAGGCGGUGGGCUGGGCCGGUACUGACGCUGAGGAGCGAAAGCGUGGGGAGCGAACAGG
rnacentral:rRNA from 1 species